CCUACGGGUGGCAGCAGUGGGGAAUAUUGCACAAUGGGGGAAACCCUGAUGCAGCGACGCCGCGUGAGUGAAGAAGUAUUUCGGUAUGUAAAGCUCUAUCAGCAGGGAAGAAAAUGACGGUACCUGAUUAAGAAGCCCCGGCCAACUACGUGCCAGCAGCCGCGGGAAUACGGAGGGGGCAAGCGUUAUCCGGAUGUACUGGGUGUAAAGGGCACGUAGGCGGCGUCGCAAGUCUGAAGUGAAAGCCCGGGGCUCAACCGUGGAACCGCUUGGGAAACUGCGAGGCUGGAGUGCUGGAGAGGUAAGCGGAAUUCCUGGUGUAGCGGUGAAAUGCGUAGAUAUCAGGAGGAAUACCGGUGGCGAAGGCGGCUUACUGGACAGUGACUGACGUUGAGGCUCGAAAGCGUGGGGAGCGAACAGGAUUAGAUACCCGAGUAGUC
rnacentral:rRNA from 1 species